rnacentral:rRNA from 1 species
AGGGGCAGCAGGAAUAGCAAUAUUUGCUGGCGACCGGCGCACGGGUGCGUAACACGUAUACAAUCUGCCUUCUACAGGGGGAUAGCCUUUCGAAAGAGAGAUUAAUACCCCAUAACACAAGAAAUAGCAUUAUUUUUUGUUGAAAGAUCCGUCGGUAGAAGAUGAGUAUGCGGGUGAUUAGCUAGUUGGUGAGGUAACGGCUCACCAAGGCUACGAUCACUAGGGGAUCUGAGAGGACUACCCCCCACACUGGUACUGAGACACGGACCAGACUCCUACGGGAGGCAGCAGUAAGGAAUAUUGGACAAUGGAGGCAACUCUGAUCCAGCCAUGCCGCGUGCAGGAUGAAGGCCCUAUGGGUCGUAAACUGCUUUUGUACGAGAGAAAACCUAUUUACGUGUAGAUAGUUGAUAGUAUCGUAAGAAUAAGGAUCGGCUAACUUCGUGCCAGCAGCCGCGGUAAGACGAAGGAUCCAAGCGUUAUCCGGAUUCAUUGGGUUUAAAGGGUGC